AGUGGCGGACGGGUGAGUAACGCGUGAGAAUCUGCCUUCAGGUCUGGGACAACAGAAGGAAACUUCUGCUAAUCCCGGAUGAGCCUUAGGGUAAAAGAUAAAUUGCCUGGAGAUGAGCUCGCGUCUGAUUAGCUAGUUGGUGUGGUAAAAGCAUACCAAGGCAACGAUCAGUAGCUGGUCUGAGAGGAUGAGCAGCCACACUGGGACUGAGACACGGCCCAGACUCCUACGGGAGGCAGCAGUGGGGAAUAUUGCACAAUGGGGGAAACCCUGAUGCAGCCAUGCCGCGUGUGUGAAGAAGGCCUUCGGGUUGUAAAGCACUUUCAGUUGUGAGGAAAAGUUAGUAGUUAAUACCUGCUAGCCGUGACGUUAACAACAGAAGAAGCACCGGCUAACUCCGUGCCAGCAGCCGCGGUAAUACGGAGGGUGCGAGCGUUAAUCGGAAUUACUGGGCGUAAAGCGCACGCAGGCGGUUUGUUAAGCUAGAUGUGAAAGCCCCGGGCUCAACCUGGGAUGGUCAUUUAGAACUGGCAGACUAGAGUCUUGGAGAGGGGAGUGGAAUUCCAGGUGUAGCGGUGAAAUGCGUAGAUAUCUGGAGGAACAUCAGUGGCGAAGGCGACUCCCUGGCCAAAGACUGACGCUCAUGUGCGAAAGUGUGGGUAGCGAACAGGAUUAGAUACCCUGGUAGUCCACACCGUAAACGCUGUCUACUAGCUGUGUGUGUCUUUAAGACGUGCGUAGCGAAGCUAACGCGCUAAGUAGACCGCCUGGGGAGUACGGCCGCAAGGUUAAAACUCAAAUGAAUUGACGGGGGGCC
rnacentral:rRNA from 1 species